GACGAACGUUGGCGGCGUGCUUAACACAUGCAAGUCGAACGGAAAGGCCCUGCUUUUGUGGGGUGCUCGAGUGGCGAACGGGUGAGUAACACGUGAGUAACCUGCCCUUGACUUUGGGAUAACUUCAGGAAACUGGGGCUAAUACCGGAUAGGAGCUCCUGCUGCAUGGUGGGGGUUGGAAAGUUUCGGCGGUUGGGGAUGGACUCGCGGCUUAUCAGCUUGUUGGCGGGGUAGUGGCUUACCAAGGCUUUGACGGGUAGCCGGCCUGAGAGGGUGGCCGGCCACAUUGGGACUGAGAUACGGCCCAGACUCCUACGGGAGGCAGCAGUGGGGAAUAUUGCACAAUGGGCGGAAGCCUGAUGCAGCAACGCCGCGUGCGGGAUGACGGCCUUCGGGUUGUAAACCGCUUUCGCCUGUGACGAAGCGUGAGUGACGGUAAUGGGUAAAGAAGCACCGGCUAACUACGUGCCAGCAGCCGCGGUGAUACGUAGGGUGCGAGCGUUGUCCGGAUUUAUUGGGCGUAAAGGGCUCGUAGGUGGUUGAUCGCGUCGGAAGUGUAAUCUUGGGGCUUAACCCUGAGCGUGCUUUCGAUACGGGUUGACUUGAGGAAGGUAGGGGAGAAUGGAAUUCCUGGUGGAGCGGUGGAAUGCGCAGAUAUCAGGAGGAACACCAGUGGCGAAGGCGGUUCUCUGGGCCUUUCCUGACGCUGAGGAGCGAAAGCGUGGGGAGCGAACAGGCUUAGAUACCCUGGUAGUCCACGCUGUAAACGGUGGGUACUAGGUGUGGGGUCCAUUCCACGGGUUCCGUGCCGUAGCUAACGCUUUAAGUACCCCGCCUGGGGAGUACGGCCGCAAGGCUAAAACUCAAAGGAAUUGACGGGGCCCCGCACAAGCGGCGGAGCAUGCGGAUUAAUUCGAUGCAACGCGUAGAACCUUACCUGGGUUUGACAUGGAUCGGGAGUGCUCAGAGAUGGGUGUGCCUCUUUUGGGGUCGGUUCACAGGUGGUGCAUGGCUGUCGUCAGCUCGUGUCGUGAGAUGUUGGGUUAAGUCCCGCAACGAGCGCAACCCUUGUUCACUGUUGCCAGCACGUUAUGGUGGGGACUCAGUGGAGACCGCCGGGGUCAACUCGGAGGAAGGUGGGGAUGACGUCAAGUCAUCAUGCCCCUUAUGUCCAGGGCUUCACGCAUGCUACAAUGGCUGGUACAGAGAGUGGCGAGCCUGUGAGGGUGAGCGAAUCUCGGAAAGCCGGUCUCAGUUCGGAUUGGGGUCUGCAACUCGACCUCAUGAAGUCGGAGUCGCUAGUAAUCGCAGAUCAGCAACGCUGCGGUGAAUACGUUCCCGGGGCU
rnacentral:rRNA from 1 species